rnacentral:sRNA from 1 species
AAAAUAUCGAUUUUAAGCCAAGUUACACCAGUUUUAAGUUGGUGGCCUAGAAACCC